GAUGAACGCUGGCGGCGUGCCUAAUACAUGCAAGUCGAGCGAAUGGAUUAAGAGCUUGCUCUUAUGAAGUUAGCGGCGGACGGGUGAGUAACACGUGGGUAACCUGCCCAUAAGACUGGGAUAACUCCGGGAAACCGGGGCUAAUACCGGAUAAUAUUUUGAACUGCAUGGUUCAAAAUUGAAAGGCGGCUUCGGCUGUCACUUAUGGAUGGACCCGCGUCGCAUUAGCUAGUUGGUGAGGUAACGGCUCACCAAGGCAACGAUGCGUAGCCGCCCUGAGAGGGUGAUCGGCCACACUGGGACUGAGACUCGGCCCAGACUCCUACGGGAGGUAGCAGUAGGGAAUCUUCCGCAAUGGACGAAAGUCUGACGGAGCAACGCCGCGUGAGUGAUGAAGGCUUUCGGGUCGUAAAACUCUGUUGUUAGGGAAGAACAAGUGCUAGUUGAAUAAGCUGGCACCUUGACGGUACCUAACCAGAAAGCCACGGCUAACUACGUGCCAGCCGCCGCGGUAA
rnacentral:rRNA from 1 species